UGAGGCAGGAGAAUUGCUUGAACCCAGGAGGUGGAGGUUGCAGUGAGUGAAGAUCGAGCCACUGCACUCCAGCCUGGGUGACAGAGCAAGACUCCAUCUC
rnacentral:miRNA from 1 species